rnacentral:precursor_RNA from 13 species
UGCUCCGGCUGUCGUUGGACCCGCCCUCCGGUGCCUACUGAGCUGAUAUCAGUUCUCUUGUACACACUGGCUCAGUUCAGCAGGAACAGGAGUCGAGCCCUUGAGCAAAGCCUCCCGUC